rnacentral:lncRNA from 1 species
AACGGAAACACAACCGAGGGUGACCCUCAGUUAGGGAAGCUGGGUGCUACAGUAUUCCUUGUUUAAAUUUUCGUUGGCAGAAUUACCCCCAAUUCACAUCGAAAAAUUCAGCUUUUGUUUCGCCGCUCAACAACAAAUUGCUGCUAGAUACACGAUGGUUUGAGAGAGUUUCUUGGUUGAGAAAUUGAGCGAGGCAUCGAGAGGGGGAACAGACGAGAGGCGGCGCCCUCAGCCGGACACAGCCUCGCCGACCUCUCCAUACCCGCCGACCCCUGUUGCACUUGUUGUGGUUGGUAUAUUUUCCCCAAUGCGUAAUUUGUGAAUGCGAAAUUGCGCUGAUUUUUUUGUUUAAUUUUGUUGGGUCUGGUCGUGUUUUUUGAAUUUUGAUUAUUUUUGUUCUUCAAAUUUGAGAUAUGUUACAGUGGUUGAUGACAUUGGGCGAGGGCAUUUCGGCCACUUCACUCACCUGAUAUUAUGCGUGGCCACCUAACACUUAACACCCUUUUACACGGCUCUAUAGAUGGACUAUCAAAUACACAACCCAUAUAGCUUAGAGACCCCAAUACAGGUUACAUUUUCUUGGGUUUAUUUAAAUGGGCUUAUCCCAACUAUGUAAUCAAACAUGGCCAUAAUCCAACACAUGAUACCGAAUCUAUUACAAAAGUCAUAGAUAAUGCAUCAACUAUCAACUAUCUAUCUAAGCAUGAAUUCAAAUACUAACACCAAAAGGACUGAAAUGACCACACACUGCACUCAAAUUUGUCUCUUAUUUGCCUUGUUUGCAGUCUCCAAGAUCGAGAGUUCAACUCUAAGACCAUGAUUCUACUUCAAGAACUCCCCAUUUGACUCAGAAAUCUUGUAGUCUUGCCUAUCCAAAAAUUGAGCUUCUUCGGGCAAUUUUCAACAACAUAUCGAGCAUCCGAAACAGUUACUUGAGCUUCAGCCCAUUGAAAAUAAUCACACUACAAGAAGAAGGGAAUAAUUAACUCAAUACAGUCAAACAAAGCUUCAAACAAC